UAGGGAAUCUUCCGCAAUGGGCGAAAGCCUGACGGAGCAACGCCGCGUGAGUGAUGAAGGUCUUCGGAUCGUAAAACUCUGUUAUUAGGGAAGAACAAAUGUGUAAGUAACUAUGCACGUCUUGACGGUACCUAAUCAGAAAGCCACGGCUAACUACGUGCCAGCAGCCGCGUUAAUACGUAGGUGGCAAGCGUUAUCCGGAAUUAUUGGGCGUAAAGCGCGCGUAGGCGGUUUUUUAAGUCUGAUGUGAAAGCCCACGGCUCAACCGUGGAGGGUCAUUGGAAACUGGAAAACUUGAGUGCAGAAGAGGAAAGUGGAAUUCCAUGUGUAGCGGUGAAAUGCGCAGAGAUAUGGAGGAACACCAGUGGCGAAGGCGACUUUCUGGUCUGUAACUGACGCUGAUGUGCGAAAGCGUGGGGAUCAAACAGG
rnacentral:rRNA from 2 species